ACGUACGCUGGCGGCACGCCUAACACAUGCAAGUCGAACGAAGUAGCAAUACUUAGUGGCAGACGGGUGAGUAACAUGUAGGUAUCUGCCCUUUGGCCUGGAAUAACACGAGGAAACUUGUGCUAAUACUGGAUAAGUCUUCACGGAGAAAGCUUUAUGCACCAUUGGAUGAGCCUGCACUUGAUUAGUUUGUUGGUGGGGUAAUGGCCUACCAAGACUUUGAUCAAUAGCUGAUUUGAGAGGAUGAUCAGCCACAUUGGGACUGAGACACGGCCCAAACUCCUACGGGAGGCAGCAGUGGGGAAUCUUGCACAAUGGAGGAAACUCUGAUGCAGCGAUGCCGCGUGAGUGAAGAAGGCCUUUGGGUUGUAAAGCUCUUUCGUCGGGGAAGAAAAUGACUGUACCCGAAUAAGAAGGUCCGGCUAACUUCGUGCCAGCAGCCGCGGUAAUACGAAGGGACCUAGCGUAGUUCGGAAUUACUGGGCUUAAAGAGUUCGUAGGUGGUUGAAAAAGUUGGUGGUGAAAUCCCAGAGCUUAACUCUGGAACUGCCAUCAAAACUUUUCAGCUAGAGUUUGAUAGAGGAAAGCAGAAUUUCUAGUGUAGAGGUGAAAUUCGUAGAUAUUAGAAAGAAUACCAAAUGCGAAGGCAGCUUUCUGGAUCAUUACUGACACUGAGGAACGAAAGCAUGGGUAGCGAAGAGGAUUAGAUACCCUCGUAGUCCAUGCCGUAAACGAUGUGUGUUAGACGUUGGAAAUUUAUUUUCAGUGUCGCAGCGAAAGCAAUAAACACACCGCCUGGGGAGUACGACCGCAAGGUUAAAACUCAAAUGAAUUGACGGGGACCCGCACAAGUAGUGGAGCAUGUGGUUUAAUUCGAAGAUACGCGCAGAACCUUACCAACACUUGACAUGUUCGUCGCGACUUUAAGAGAUUAAAGUUUUCGGUUCGGCCGGACGAAACACAGGUGCUGCAUGGCUGUCGUCAGCUCGUGUCGUGAGAUGUUGGGUUAAGUCCCGCAACGAGCGCAACCCUCACUUUUAGUUGCCAUCAUUAAGUUGGGCACUCUGAAAGAACUGCCAGUGAUAAGCUGGAGGAAGGUGGGGAUGACGUCAAGUCCUCAUGGCCCUUACGUGUUGGGCUACACACGUGCUACAAUGAUAUUUACAACAGGAAGCAAAACGGCGACGUUAAGCAAAUCCUCAAAAAAUAUCUCAGUUCGGAUUGCACUCUGCAACUCGAGUGCAUGAAGCUGGAAUUACUAGUAAUCGUGGAUCAGCGUGCCACGGUGAAUGCGUUCCCGGGUCUUGUACACACCGCCCGUCACACCAUGGGAGUUGGUUCUACCUUAAGGCAAGGUUUAAAAUCCUUGACCACGGUAUAGUCAGCGACUGGGGUGA
rnacentral:rRNA from 1 species